UGGCCAGACUCCUACGGGAGGCAGCAGUGGGGAAUAUUGCACAAUGGGGGGAACCCCGAUGCAGUGACGCCGCGUGGGUGAAGGAGCACCUCGGUGCGUAAAGCCCUAUCGGCAGGGAAGAAACAGACGGUACCUGACUAAGAAGCCCCGGCUAACUACGUGCCAGCAGCCGCGGUAAUACGUAGGGGGCAAGCGUUAUCCGGAUUUACUGGGUGUAAAGGGAGCGUAGACGGCGAAGAAAGUCUGAAGUGAAAGCCCGCGGCUUAACCGCGGAACUGCUUUGGAAACUUUUUUGCUGGAGUACCGGAGAGGUAAGCGGAAUUCCUAGUGUAGCGGUGAAAUGCGUAGAUAUUAGGAGGAACACCAGUGGCGAAGGCGGCUUACUGGACGGUAACUGACGUUGAGGCUCGAAAGCGUGGGGAGCAAACAGGAUUAGAUACCCCAGUAC
rnacentral:rRNA from 1 species